AUUGAACGCUGGCGGCAGGCCUAACACAUGCAAGUCGGGCGAGCGGCGGACGGGUGAGUAAUGUAUGGGGAUCUGCCUGAUGGCGGGGGAUAACUACUGGAAACGGUAGCUAAUACCGCAUACCAUCAGAUGUGCCCAGAUGGGUUUAGCUAGUAGGUGGGGUAAUGGCUCACCUAGGCGACGGUCCCUAGCUGGUCUGAGAUGAUGACCAGCCACACUGGAACUGGGACACUGUCCAGACUCCUACGGGAGGCAGCAGUGGGGAAUAUUGCACAAUGGGCGCAAGCCUGAUGCGGCCAUGCCGGGUGUGUGAAGAAGGCCUUCGGGUUGUAAAGUUCUUUUAUAUGGGAAGCGGUACCAUAAGAAAAAGCCCCGGCUAACUACGUGCCAGCAGCCGCGGUAAUAC
rnacentral:rRNA from 1 species